GACGAACGCUGGCGGCGUGCUUAACACAUGCAAGUCGAACGGAAAGGCCCGGCUUUUGUGGGGUGCUCGAGUGGCGAACGGGUGAGUAACACGUGAGUAACCUGCCCUUGACUUUGGGAUAACUUCAGGAAACUGGGGCGAAUACCGGAUAUGAUCUCCUGCUGCAUGGUGGGGGUUGGAAAGUUUCGGCGGUUGGGGAUGGACUCGCGGCUUAUCAGCUUGUUGGUGGGGUAGUGGCUUACCAAGGCUUUGACGGGUAGCCGGCCUGAGAGGGUGACCGGCCACAUUGGGACUGAGAUACGGCCCAGACUCCUACGGGAGGCAGCAGUGGGGAAUAUUGCACAAUGGGCGGAAGCCUGAUGCAGCAACGCCGCGUGCGGGAUGACGGCCUUCGGGUUGUAAACCGCUUUCGCCUGUGACGAAGCGUGAGUGACGGUAAUGGGUAAAGAAGCACCGGCUAACUACGUG
rnacentral:rRNA from 1 species